rnacentral:tRNA from 1 species
GGCUCAGUGGUCUAGUAGCAUGAUUCUUCGUUCGGGUCGAAGAGGUCCCGGGUUCAAUUCCCGGCUGAGCCC